AACGAACGCUGGCGGCAUGCCUAACACAUGCAAGUCGAACGAAGGCUUCGGCCUUAGUGGCGCACGGGUGCGUAACGCGUGGGAAUCUGCCCCUCGGUUCGGAAUAACAGUUAGAAAUGACUGCUAAUACCGGAUGAUGACUUCGGUCCAAAGAUUUAUCGCCGAGGGAUGAGCCCGCGUAAGAUUAGGUAAUUGGUGGGGUAAAGGCCUACCAAGCCGACGAUCUUUAGCUGGUCUGAGAGGAUGAUCAGCCACACUGGGACUGAGACACGGCCCAGACUCCUACGGGAGGCAGCAGUGGGGAAUAUUGGACGAUGGGCGAAAGCCUGAUCCAGCAAUGCCGCGUGAGUGAUGAAGGCCUUAGGGUUGUAAAGCUCCUUUACCAGGGAUGAUAAUGACAGUACCUGGAGAAUAAGCUCCGGCUAACUCCGUGCCAGCAGCCGCGGUAA
rnacentral:rRNA from 1 species